ensembl:lincRNA Gm28722 predicted gene 28722
AAAAUCUGGCUCCAGUUGAGUCACAGCAACAGGUGGCUGUUCCUCUGAACAAGGGUUGCUAGCACAUAAAUGCUAGAGGUAUUCAAACAGACUGCAACGCGGCAGCAUGUCUGCCGGAAAGGCAGCCCAGGCCUUCCUGACUAUAAUCAAGAGCCGAUGCCAAGGCAGGGAAGUUACACACAGCCAGAGGAAUUUCAAGGUCGGGAGAACAAACCUAUCCUGGGGAAGCCAGCAAAUUCCUUGCUGAUGGAGCCCUCUGAUUUAUCUGGAAGGAGAGGAAAUCACAGGCCUGCAUAGCAUAGAGUGAUAACCUUGGGUUAGUGCAAUAUAAACCUCAGGCGUUAUUUUCUGCAUCCCCGCCUGAAGGGACCUUGGUGUGUUAGUCCUGCAAAUAAAAGCCAAAGUUGUGUGACUGGUACCCAGAUGUCCUGGAGGCCCCUGGGCUUGGAGAAGACUUGUUCGAGGACCUGGGCCUCUGCAGCUCUACUCUGCUAUGCUCACACAGAGCUGAUACAUCUUAGCAAGCAACAGACAACCUGAGAGAGCAUGAAUCCCUUCUCUAUCUGGGGCAAAGCUUUUCCCUUCAAGAUGACUUCAAGGCAAAAUUUGAUUGAUUUUAAGCAGACACGUCAGAUGAUCAGACUCUGAAGAGUCACACUAGAAAGCUGAAGUUUUUCUUGGUACGCUGUCAUGAAGAUUUAGGUGGAGAGGUGGCUCAGAGGUUAAGAGCACUAGCUGCUCUUGUAGAGGACCCAGGUUCAGUUCCCAGCAGCCACAUCAGGUGGCUCACAACCAUCUGUAACCGCAGCUCCAGGGAGCCUAAGUCUCUGACCUCUGAGGCUGUCAUACAGAGACACUCAUAUACCUAUAAAUAAAUAAACAUAAGUUUUUAGAAAGCAAUGUUGUUUGGGCAGUGUGUUUCCACAUUUUUAGUAUUUUUUUUCAAGAUCCUGAAAGAGUUAGUAGUAUUAGUUCUGCAUCCUUCAAAAUAUGUCUUUCUAAAAACCUGUGAAAAUACAGCCUGAGGUUUUUGUGC